rnacentral:rRNA from 1 species
GACGAACGCUGGCGGCGUGCUUAACACAUGCAAGUCGAGCGGUAAGGCCCUUUCGGGGGUACGACGAGCGGCGAACGGGUGAGUAACACGUGGGUGACCUGCCCUUAGCUCUGGGAUAAGCCUGGGAAACGUGGGUCUAAUACCGGAUAUGACUCCAUGACGCAUGUUGUGGGGUGGAAAGCCUUGUGCGGCUAGGGAUGGCCCGCGGCCUAUCAGCUUGUUGGGUGGGGGUGAUGGCCCACCAAGGCGACGACGGGUAGCCGGCCUGAGAGGGCGACCGGCCACACU